rnacentral:rRNA from 1 species
UGGGGAAUCUUAGACAAUGGGGGCAACCCUGAUCUAGCCAUGCCGCGUGAGUGAUGAAGGCCUUAGGGUUGUAAAGCUCUUUCAGCUGGGAAGAUAAUGACGGUACCAGCAGAAGAAGCCCCGGCUAACUCCGUGCCAGCAGCCGCGGUAAUACGGAGGGGGCUAGCGUUGUUCGGAAUUACUGGGCGUAAAGCGCACGUAGGCGGACUGGAAAGUUGGGGGUGAAAUCCCGGGGCUCAACCUCGGAACUGCCUUCAAAACUAUCAGUCUGGAGUUCGAGAGAGGUGAGUGGAAUUCCGAGUGUAGAGGUGAAAUUCGUAGAUAUUCGGAGGAACACCAGUGGCGAAGGCGACCACCUGGACUAAUACUGACACUGAGGUGCGAAAGCGUGGGGAGCAAACA